GAGAUGUGGGUAGUCCGUACGAGCGCACCUUGUCCUUAUUUGCCAGCACGUAAUGGUGGGAACUCUAAGGAGACUGCCGGUGACAAGCCGGAGGAAGGUGGGGACGACGUCAAGUCAUCAUGGCCCUUAUGACCAGGGCUACACACGUGCUACAAUGGAGCGUACAGAGGGUUGCUAAGCCGCGGGGUGGAGCCAAUCCCAGAAAACGUUUCGUAGUCCGGAUCGAAGUCUGCAACUCGACUUCGUGAAGUCGGAAUCGCUAGUAAUCGCGAAUCAGCAUGUCGCGGUGAAUACGUUCCCGGGCCUUGUACACACCGCCCGUCACACCAUGGGAGUGGGUUGCAAAAGAAGUGGCUAGUCUAACCUUCGGGAGGACGGUCACCACUUUGUGAUUCAUGACUGGGGUGAAGUCGUAACAAGGUAGCCCUAGGGGAACCUGGGGCUGGAUCACCUCCUU
rnacentral:rRNA from 1 species